rnacentral:rRNA from 2 species
UGGGGAAUAUUGCGCAAUGGAGGAAACUCUGACGCAGCAACGCCGCGUGAAGGAUGAAGGUUUUCGGAUUGUAAACUUCUUUGAUCGGGGACGAAAAUGACGGUACCCGAGGAACAAGCCACGGCUAACUACGUGCCAGCAGCCGCGGUAAUACGUAGGUGGCAAGCGUUGUCCGGAAUUACUGGGUGUAAAGGGCGUGUAGGCGGGAAGGCAAGUCAGAUGUGAAAUCCCAGGGCUUAACUCUGGAGCUGCAUCUGAAACUGUUUUUCUUGAGUGUCGGAGAGGAAAGCGGAAUUCCUAGUGUAGCGGUGAAAUGCGUAGAUAUUAGGAGGAACACCAGUGGCGAAGGCGGCUUUCUGGACGACAACUGACGCUGAGGCGCGAAAGCGUGGGGAGCAAACAGG